UACGAAGGGGGCUAGCGUUGCUCGGAAUCACUGGGCGUAAAGCGCACGUAGGCGGAUUGCUAAGUCAGGGGUGAAAUCCUGGAGCUCAACUCCAGAACUGCCUUUGAUACUGGCGAUCUUGAGUCCGGGAGAGGUGAGUGGAACUGCGAGUGUAGAGGUGAAAUUCGUAGAUAUUCGCAAGAACACCAGUGGCGAAGGCGGCUCACUGGCCUGGUACUGACGCUGAGGUGCGAAAGCGUGGGGAGCGAACAGG
rnacentral:rRNA from 1 species